rnacentral:rRNA from 1 species
UACGUAGGGUGCAAGCGUUAAUCGGAAUUACUGGGCGUAAAGCGUGCGCAGGCGGUGAUGUAAGACAGUUGUGAAAUCCCCGGGCUUAACCUGGGAAUGGCAUUUGGGACUGCAAGGCUGGAGUUUGGCAGAGGAGACUGGAAUUCCUGGUGUAGCAGUGAAAUGCGUAGAUAUCAGGAGGAAUACCGAUGGCGAAGGCAGGUCUCUGGGCUAUAACUGACGCUCAUGCACGAAAGCGUGGGGAGCAAACAGG